AUACCGGCGGCUCGAGUGGUGGCCACUUUUAUUGGGCUUAAAGCGUUCGUAGCUGGGUUGUUAAGUCUCUUGGGAAAUCUGGCAGCUUAACUGUCAGGCGUCUAAGAGAUACUGGCAAUCUAGGAACCGGGAGAGGUGAGGGGUACUUCGGGGGUAGGAGUGAAAUCCUGUAAUCCUCGAGGGACCACCUGUGGCGAAGGCGCCUCACCAGAACGGCUUCGACAGUGAGGGACGAAAGCUGGGGGAGCAAACCGGAUUAGAUACCCGGGUAGUCCCAGCCGUAAACGAUGCGCGUUAGGUGUGUCGAUGACCACGAGUCAUCGAGGUGCCGAAGGGAAACCGUGAAACGCGCCGCCUGGGAAGUACGGUCGCAAGGCUGAA
rnacentral:rRNA from 1 species